rnacentral:rRNA from 1 species
AUUGAACGCUGGCGGCAUGCCUUACACAUGCAAGUCGAACGGCAGCGGGCCUUCGGGUGCCGGCGAGUGGCGAACGGGUGAGUAAUGCAUCGGAACGUGCCAUUGAGUGGGGGAUAACGUAGCGAAAGUUACGCUAAUACCGCAUAUUCUGUGAGCAGGAAAGCAGGGGAUCGCAAGACCUUGCGCUCUGGGAGCGGCCGAUGUCGGAUUAGCUAGUUGGUGGGGUAAAGGCCUACCAAGGCGACGAUCCGUAGCGGGUCUGAGAGGAUGAUCCGCCACACUGGGACUGAGACACGGCCCAGACUCCUACGGGAGGCAGCAGUGGGGAAUUUUGGACAAUGGGCGCAAGCCUGAUCCAGCCAUGCCGCGUGAGUGAAGAAGGCCUUCGGGUUGUAAA